AGUUUGAUCCUGGCUCAGGAUGAACGCUGGCGGCGUGCCUAAUACAUGCAAGUCGAACGAAUCUCUUCGGAGAUGAGUGGCGAACGGGUGAGUAAUACAUAGGUAACCUGCCCCUGUGCGGGGGAUAACAGGAGGAAACUCCUGCUAAUACCGCAUAGCCAUGAGCACCGCAUGGAGCUCAUGCCAAAUAUCCUUUCGGGGAUAGCGCAGGGAUGGACCUAUGGCGCAUUAGCUUGUUGGCGGGGCAACGGCCCACCAAGGCAACGAUGCGUAGCCGGCCUGAGAGGGCGGACGGCCACAUUGGGACUGAGACACGGCCCAGACUCCUACGGGAGGCAGCAGUAGGGAAUUUUCGGCAAUGGGGGAAACCCUGACCGAGCAACGCCGCGUGAGCGAAGAAGGCCUUCGGGUCGUAAAGCUCUGUUGUAAAGGAAGAACGGCGCAUACAGGAAAUGGUAUGCGAGUGACGGUACUUUACCAGAAAGCCACGGCUAACUACGUGCCAGCAGCCGCGGUAAUACGUAGGUGGCGAGCGUUAUCCGGAAUCAUUGGGCGUAAAGAGGGAGCAGGCGGCCGCAAGGGUCUGUGGUGAAAGACCGAAGCUAAACUUCGGUAAGCCAUGGAAACCGGGCGGCUAGAGUGCGGAAGAGGAUCGUGGAAUUCCAUGUGUAGCGGUGAAAUGCGUAGAUAUAUGGAGGAACACCAGUGGCGAAGGCGACGGUCUGGGCCGCAACUGACGCUCAUUCCCGAAAGCGUGGGGAGCAAAUAGGAUUAGAUACCCUAGUAGUCCACGCCGUAAACGAUGGUCACUAAGUGUCGGGGGUCAAACCCCGGUGCUGCAGUCAACGCAAUAAGUGACCCGCCUGAGUA
rnacentral:rRNA from 1 species